rnacentral:rRNA from 1 species
AAUAGAUACCCUGGUAGUCCACGCCGUAAACGAUGAGUGCUAAGUGUUAGAGGGUUUCCGCCCUUUAGUGCUGCAGCUAACGCAUUAAGCACUCCGCCUGGGGAGUACGGCCGCAAGGCUGAAACUCAAAGGAAUUGACGGGGGCCCGCACAAGCGGUGGAGCAUGUGGUUUAAUUCGAAGCAACGCGAAGAACCUUACCAGGUCUUGACAUCCUCUGACAACCCUAGAGAUAGGGCUUUCCCCUUCGGGGGACAGAGUGACAGGUGGUGCAUGGUUGUCGUCAGCUCGUGUCGUGAGAUGUUGGGUUAAGUCCCGCAACGAGCGCAACCCUUGAUCUUAGUUGCCAGCAUUCAGUUGGGCACUCUAAGGUGACUGCCGGUGACAAACCGGAGGAAGGUGGGGAUGACGUCAAAUCAUCAUGCCCCUUAUGACCUGGGCUACACACGUGCUACAAUGGAUGGUACAAAGGGCUGCAAACCUGCGAAGGUAAGCGAAUCCCAUAAACCAUUCUCAGUUCGGAUUGCAGG